GACGAACGCUGGCGGCGUGCCUAACACAUGCAAGUCGCACGGGGUAGCAAUACCCAGUGGCGAACGGGUGCGUAACACGUGAGGAACAUACCUAUCGGCGGGGGAUAGCCGGCCCAACGGCCGGGUAAUACCGCGUACGCUCUCCGGGGGGCAUCUCCUGGGGAGGAAAGCAGCAAUGCACCGAUAGAGUGCCUCGCGGCCUAUCAGCUAGUUGAUGAGGUAAUGGCUCACCAAGGCGACGACGGGUAGCUGGUCUGAGAGGAUGAUCAGCCACAUUGGGACUGAGACACGGCCCAGACUCCUACGGGAGGCAGCAGUGGGGAAUCUUGCGCAAUGGGCGAAAGCCUGACGCAGCGACGCCGCGUGUGGGAUGAAGGCCUUCGGGUCGUAAACCACUGUCGCGAGGGACGAAUACAUUGACGGUACCUCGAAAGGAAGCACCGGCUAACUCUGUGCCAGCAGCCGCGGUAAUACAGAGGGUGCG
rnacentral:rRNA from 1 species